rnacentral:rRNA from 1 species
UUACAGUUUUCCCUAGUAGCGGCGAGCGAGCGGGAAGAGCUCAAAUUUAUAAUCUGGCACCUUCGGUGUCCGAGUUGUAAUCUCUAGAAAUGUUUUCCGCGUUGGACCGCACACAAGUCUGUUGGAAUACAGCGGCAUAGUGGUGAGACCCCCGUAUAUGGUGCGGACGCCCAGCGCUUUGUGAUACAUUUUCGAAGAGUCGAGUUGUUUGGGAAUGCAGCUCAAAUUGGGUGGUAAAUUCCAUCUAAAGCUAAAUAUUGGCGAGAGACCGAUAGCGAACAAGUACCGUGAGGGAAAGAUGAAAAGCACUUUGGAAAGAGAGUUAACAGUACGUGAAAUUGUUGGAAGGGAAACGCUUGAAGUCAGACUUGCUUGCUGAGCAAUCGGUUUGCAGGCCAGCAUCAGUUUUCCGGGAUGGAUAAUGGUAGAGAGAAGGUAGCAGUUUCGGCUGUGUUAUAGCUCUCUGCUGGAUACAUCUUGGGGGACUGAGGAACGCAGUGUGCCUUUGGCGGGGGUUUCGACCUCUUCACACUUAGGAUGCUGGUGGAAUGGCUUUAAACGACCCGUCUUGAACCCACGGACCCA